CGGGGUGUGGCUGAGAAACUAAGCGUCUCCUUUACACCGAGAAGACAUUCGUGAAAUUCGGAUCACCUUGA
rnacentral:tRNA from 2 species